UGCUUGUCCCUUUACAGACCACAUUCAUCACUUGAGGUAUGUCAUCCUAUCCAACCUGCCUCUUCCUGCUUCAGACUGAAGGCACAGAGAUAACUCAGUCUCAAACCUUCAGCUACCUGGGAUUUGAAGAAUAGCCAAACCUGGAUGGACAGACCAACCUUCAGAGAAGGGUUCUUUGAUGUGUAAGCAAGUAAUUCAUGCUGAACAGCUAGUAAGAAUUUUCCUCGGCUAGAUGACAAGGACAGAAGAGCAGAUUUGUGAAUGAAGGAUAACAUGAAGCAAGCAGGCAGGAACAGUAGUCAUCACUGUUAUUAUUUUGACUGCUGAUCAUGGAGGCUCAAGAGAUUAAUUCUUAAAAACAACCCUAUCAGGUGUUGAUGGUUAUUUCCAUUAUAUGGAUGGACAUAGAGGUUGAUAAU